rnacentral:tRNA from 1 species
GGAGAGAUGGCCGAGCGGCAAGGCACCUCACUGCUAACGAGGCGUGACCUUCGGGUCUGGCGAGUUCGACUCUCGCUCUCUCCGCCA